rnacentral:rRNA from 1 species
CCGGCCAACUACGUGCCAGCAGCCGCGGUAAUACGUAGGGNGNGAGCGUUGUCCGGAAUUACUGGGCGUAAAGANCUCGUAGGUGGUUUGUCGCGUUGUUCGUGAAAUCUCANCNGCUUAACUGNGAGCGUGCGGGCGAUACGGGCAGACUAGAGUACUGCANGGGAGACUGGAAUUCCUGGUGUAGCGGUGGAAUGCGCAGAUAUCAGGAGNAACACCGGUGGCGAAGGCGGGUCUCUGGGCAGUAACUGACGCUGAGGAGCGAAAGCGUGGGGANCGAACAGGAUUAGAUNCCCUGGUAGUCCNCGCCGUAAACGGUGGGUACUAGGUGUGGGUUUCCUUCCUUGGGAUCCGUGCCGUANCUANCGCAUUAAGUANCCCGCCUGGGGAGUACGGCCGCAAGGCUAAAACUCAAAGGAAUUGACGGGGGCCCGCACAA